rnacentral:rRNA from 1 species
AUACGUAGGUGACAAGCGUUAUCCGGAUUUACUGGGCGUAAAGGGCGUGUAGGCGGUCUUGCAAGUCAGAAGUGAAAUUCCUGAGCUCAACUCGGGCGCUGCUUCUGAAACUGCAGGACUUGAGUGCUGGAGGGGAUAGCGGAAUUCCUAGUGGAGCGGUUAAAUGCGCAGAUAUUAGGAAGAACACCGGUGGCGAAGGCGGCUAUCUGGACAGUAACUGACGCUGAGGCGCGAAAGCGUGGGGAGCAAACAGGAUUAGAGACCCUGGGAGUCCACGCCGUAAACGAUGAAUACUAGGUGUAGGGGGUAUCGACUCCCUCUGUGCCGCAGUUAACACAAUAAGUAUUCCGCCUGGGGAGUACGGCCGCAAGGUUGAAACUCAAAUGAAUUGACGG